rnacentral:rRNA from 1 species
CCUACGGGCGGCAGCAGUGAGGAAUAUUGGUCAAUGGACGAGAGUCUGAACCAGCCAAGUAGCGUGCAGGAUGACUGCCCUAUGGGUUGUAAACUGCUUUUAUAAAGGAAUAAACCGAGGCACGCGUGCCUUUCUGCAUGUACCUUAUGAAUAAGGAUCGGCUAACUCCGUGCCAGCAGCCGCGGUAAUACGGAGGAUCCGAGCGUUAUCCGGAUUUAUUGGGUUUAAAGGGAGCGUAGACGGGUGGUUAAGUCAGUUGUGAAAGUUUGCGGCUCAACCGUGAAAUUGCAAUUGAUACUGGCAGGCUAGAGUGUAGUUGCGGUAGGCGGAAUGUAUGGUGUAGCGGUGAAAUGCUUAGAGAUCACACAGAACACCGAUUGCGAAGGCAGCUUACUAAGCUGUGUCUGACGUUGAUGCACGAAAGUGUGGGUAUCAAACAGGAUUAGAUACCCGAGUAGUC